rnacentral:rRNA from 1 species
CGUACACUCCUACGGGAGGCAGCAGUGGGGAAUAUUGGACAAUGGGCGCAAGCCUGAUCCAGCCAUGCCGCGUGAGUGAUGAAGGCCCUAGGGUUGUAAAGCUCUUUCACCGGUGAAGAUAAUGACGGUAACCGGAGAAGAAGCCCCGGCUAACUUCGUGCCAGCAGCCGCGGUAAUACGAAGGGGGCUAGCGUUGUUCGGAUUUACUGGGCGUAAAGCGCACGUAGGCGGACUAUUAAGUCAGGGGUGAAAUCCCGGGGCUCAACCCCGGAACUGCCUUUGAUACUGGUAGUCUUGAGUUCGAGAGAGGUGAGUGGAACUCCGAGUGUAGAGGUGAAAUUCGUAGAUAUUCGGAGGAACACCAGUGGCGAAGGCGGCUCACUGGCUCGAUACUGACGCUGAGGUGCGAAAGCGUGGGGAGCAAACAGGAUUAGAUACCCUUGUAGUCCCAUGA